GGGACUGCAGCUCAGUGGCAGAGCACUUGCCUAGCAAGCAUGAGGCACUGGGUUUGAUCCUCAGCACCA
rnacentral:tRNA from 1 species